GUGGCUAAGAAACUGAGAACUAACUCAUGAAUUGCUCCUGGAAUGGUUUCUGGCACUUAGGAGGAAUGAUAAAUACUUCUACAUGUUGAAAUAAACCAAGAGAUCUAGAGAACGGAAGGCUUUUCUUUAUAAUUGAUACAUGCAUCUGCUUACAGACUAGUUUCCAAGUGUAGCCAGGAAAUAUGAAGACUUGGCUGAAAGAAAAGUUUAUUUAGUAACUGAAAGGAAUCUUUUUUUUUUUUAUUUUUCAAAUAAAAAGUCAUGACAAGAGAAUGAAAAGCAUCAUGCAAUGAGAUAACAUUGCAUAUUUUGCUUACAAUUUUCAAAUAAUUGAAAUAGUUUUGCUAACACGCGUGUUUCUAGAAGACAAUACCAGCAUGGGUUAAAGUAACAGCUAUUUGAUGCAAAAAAUCAAAAUGUGUAUAUGCAUGUUCUAAAAUAAUUGAUACAAUUCAAAAUUUUUCUUUUAAUAAACUAGACCAAAUGUUUAAUCAGUGGAUCAAAGUCUGCCCUAAUAUAAAUUCAUAUGCUGACCCUACUUUAACAACAUGAAAUCUGAUGUUAUAACUUGGAAAAUACUAUUCACAAAUAGCAGAUUAAAGACAAGGAUGACCACAUUCAUCACUUCCAUUCAACAUAAUACUGAAAGUCCUGGCCACACCAUCAGACAACAAAAAGAAAUAAAAUGUAUCAAAACUGGUAAAGAAGAAGUAAAGCUUUCACUAUUUGCAGAUGACAAAAUAUAUAUAGAUAUAUAGGAAACCCUAAAAACUCCACAAAAAAUGACUAGAACUGAUAAAUGAAUUCAGUAAGAACACAGCAUACAAAAUGAAUACAUAGACACCUGUUGCAUUUCUAUACAUUAAUGGUGAAGCAGCAGAAAGAGAAAUUAAGAAAACAACUGCAUUUACAAUUGCACCAAAGUAAUAAGGUACCUUGGAAUAAACUUUACCAAGGUAAAAGAUCUGUACUCUGAAAGCUAUAAAACAUUGAUGAAAAAAAAAAUGAAGAUGACACAAAGAACUGGGAAGACAUUUCAUGCUUAUGGAGUGGAAGAAUAUUGUUAAAAUGUCCAUACUACCCAAAGCAAGCUACAGAUUUAAUGUAAUUCCUAUCAACAUACCAAAAGCAUUUUUCACAGAGCAAGAACAAACAAUCUUACAAUUUGUAUGA